rnacentral:rRNA from 1 species
GACGAACGCUGGCGGCGUGCUUAACACAUGCAAGUCGAACGAUGAAGCCCAGCUUGCUGGGUGGAUUAGUGGCGAACGGGUGAGUAACACGUGGGUGAUCUGCCCUGCACUCUGGGAUAAGCCUGGGAAACUGGGUCUAAUACCGGAUAUGACCUCUUGCUGCAUGGCGAGGGGUGGAAAGUUUUUCGGUGCAGGAUGAGCCCGCGGCCUAUCAGCUUGUUGGUGGGGUAAUGGCCUACCCAGGCGACGACGGGUAGCCGGCCUGAGCGGGCGACCGGCCACACUGGGACUGAGACACGGACCAGACUCCUACGGGAGGCAGCAGUGGGGAAUAUUGCACAAUGGGCGCAAGCCUGAUGCAGCGACGCCGCGUGAGGGAUGACGGCCUUCGGGUUGUAAACCGCUUUCACCCAUGACGAAGCGCAAGUGACGGUAGUGGGAGAAGAAGCACCGGCCAACUACGUGCCAGCAGCCGCUGUAA